rnacentral:lncRNA from 1 species
UCUCUUAAGGCCUCAGUCACAACGGAAGCUGAGGAUGGGUUGCUUGUUGUCCAUGCUUUCUCAAGCCACUGGCAGUAUUAGUUCCUUGUAGCUGGAUACAUAAUUGUUUCAUUUCUUCACAGCCAGCAAUCAAGAGGGAGAAUCUAAAACCAGUCUGCUAGAAGAGUCUUCUAUCACAUAGCAAGGGAAUGGAAUGGCUUACUCCUCUGCCCUCUGCUGGUUAGAAGCAAGUCACGGUCCCUUCCACACCUAAGGGAAAAGAGUUACAUGCCAAACCUCAGAAGAUCUGAGAAUUCUGUCGGCCACAUCACCCAAGGAUCCUCCUCUGGUCCCAUACAUCAGAACUACUUGGGAAAAAGAACAAGAAACACAAGAAGAGGAGCGUUUGAUGGAAGAAAAGAAAAAGAAAAAGCAGGAAGAAAAGAAAAAGAAGGAAGGUGCUCAGAAAAAGGUUUGACCGGAGUUACUAACUUCAUUGUCUCUGUGAUCAUUGUGUCUCG